rnacentral:rRNA from 1 species
AUGAGCACUGCAAAGCACGCUGGUUUCAGCGCCGCCGCCGUAGGGCUUGGCCGCGCCUCCGCCUCUGGCCUGCAGCACCGUGCCUGCCGCUUCCUCUGCCUCGCCUCACAGCCGUGCGCCCGGCGAACUCCUCAAGGAGGCGGCGCCACCGCCGUCCCAGAACGAACAGAUCUGGAUCGAGGGCGCAGCGGAACCUCCCACAAACCGAGGAGGGCGCAAGAGAAGGCCUCGCCGCCGCCUACCACCGCACGGGCUUUGCCCAUGCCAGCCACCGGCAGCGGCGAGGGAGGAAUUGAUGGAGAGAUGGCCUCUGCGGUGGCUAGGAUUCCGCCGCCCGUGUCGCCCGAGCGGACGACGCCGUACUAUUUUCUACUCAUGAUAUAA